UACGUAGGGUGCAAGCGUUGUCCGGAAUUAUUGGGCGUAAAGAGCUCGUAGGCGGUCUGUCGCGUCUGCUGUGAAAACUCAGGGCUUAACCCUGAGCUUGCAGUGGGUACGGGCAGACUAGAGUGCGGUAGGGGAGACUGGAAUUCCUGGUGUAGCGGUGAAAUGCGCAGAUAUCAGGAGGGAACACCGGUGGCGGAAGGCGGGUCUCUGGGCCGUAACUGACG
rnacentral:rRNA from 1 species